rnacentral:rRNA from 1 species
CUACUCUUGACAUCCUGCGAACUUGGUAGAGAUACCUUGGUGCCUUCGGGAACGCAGAGACAGGUGCUGCAUGGCUGUCGUCAGCUUGUGUUGUGAAAUGUUGGGUUAAGUCCCGUAACGAGCGCAACCCUUGUCCUUAGUUGCCAUCAUUUAGUUGGGGACUCUAAGGAGACUGCCGGUGACAAACCGGAGGAAGGCGGGGACGACGUCAAGUCAUCAUGGCCCUUACGAGUAGGGCUACACACGUGCUACAAUGGCAAGUACAGAGGGCCGCAAAGCCGCGAGGUGGAGCUAAUCUCACAAAGCUUGUCGUAGUCCGGAUUGGAGUCUGCAACUCGACUCCAUGAAGUCGGAAUCGCUAGUAAUCGUGAAUCAGAAUGUCACGGUGAAUACGUUCCC